rnacentral:rRNA from 1 species
GACGAACGUUGGCGGCGUGCUUAAUACAUGCAAGUCAACUGAAGCAGUGGUAGCAAUCUCGCUGUGGAGGUGGCGCACGGGUGAGUAACACGUAGGUAAUCUGCCUUCAGGUCUGGCAUAACUCCGGGAAACCGGGGCUAAUAGCAGAUGAUGCAGCGGCUCGACAUCGAGACAGUUGUUAAAGCUAUGGCGCCUGAAGAUGAGCCUGCGUCUGAUUAGCUAGUUGGCGGGGUAACGGCCCACCAAGGCAACGAUCAGUAGCUGGUCUGAGAGGAUGAUCAGCCACACUGGAACUGAGACACGGUCCAGACUCCUACGGGAGGCAGCAGUAAGGAAUAUUGCUCAAUGGGAGAAAUCCUGAAGCAGCAACGCCGCGUGAGGGACGAAGGGCUUUGGCUUGUAAACCUCUGUAGUGAGAGUAAAAAAUCCCAAUCUUUGGGACAUGAUGGUAUCUCAAAAGUAAGCCCCGGCUAACUACGUG